GGAAGGUCCGGGCGUUAUCCGGAUUUAUUGGGUUUAAAGGGAGCGUAGGCCGGAGAUUAAGCGUGUUGUGAAAUGUAGAUGCUCAACAUCUGAACUGCAGCGCGAACUGGUUUCCUUGAGUACGCACAAAGUGGGCGGAAUUCGUGGUGUAGCGGUGAAAUGCUUAGAUAUCACGAAGAACUCCGAUCGCGAAGGCAUUGUGCCGGGGCAGCACUGACGCUGAGGCUCGAAAGUGCGGGUAUCAAACAGGAUUAGAUACCCUGGUAGUCCGCACGGUAAACGAUGAAUGCUCGCUAUGGGCGAUACAAUGUCCGUGGCCAAGCGAAAGCGUUAAGCAUUCCACCUGGGGAGU
rnacentral:rRNA from 1 species